AGCAGCUUCCACCGAAUUCGGGCGAUCGUUAUUGGUCUUUCCGUUGCAACGGAGGAGAAAAUCCGGGUGAAGGAGCUUGGACCGGACAAAAUGGACACGACAGGGAAGAGACGGCGAACUCUAACAAAGAAAAUGCAGGAAUCUGUCCAGGACAGGGGGAUCUUCAACAGGGGACCUCAGUGCUCCUGGGCCCCUGGAGGGAUGCAUUUUAUUAUUGUAUAAACGAAUUGACCUUGAUUAGCCUAGUAUUUCUUUGCAUUUGAUGUAUUAUGAUGAUGUACUACCUUGCUUAUUGUAAGUCGCUUUGGAUUCAAAGCAUUUGCCAAAUGCUUAAAUUGUAGCAGAUCUACAAGUUUGUUAAUUUUCAGCAAAAGGUUUUGGUGUAGGG
ensembl:lncRNA